UCUCCUACGGGGGGCAGCAGUGGGGAAUAUUGCACAAUGGGGGAAACCCUGAUGCAGCGACGCCGCGUGAGUGAAGAAGCGUUUCGGCGCGUAAAGCUCUGUCAGCGGGGAAGAAACACGGUUCGCGAGAGCCGCGGACGGUACCCGACCAAGAAGCCCCGGCUAACUACGUGCCAGUAGCCGCGGUAAUACGUAGGGGGCAAGCGUUAUCCGGAUUUACUGGGUGUAAAGGGAGCGUAGACGGCAGCGCAAGUCUGAAGUGAAAUCCCAUGGCUUAACCAUGGAACUGCUUUGGAAACUGUGCA
rnacentral:rRNA from 1 species